rnacentral:tRNA from 1 species
GGCCCCUUGGUCAAGCGGUUAAGACGCCACCCUCUCACGGUGGAAUCAGGAGUUCGAGUCUCCUAGGGGCCA